CCUACGGGUGGCUGCAGUGGGGAAUAUUGGACAAUGGGCGAAAGCCUGAUCCAGCCAUGCCGCGUGUGUGAAGAAGGCCUUCGGGUUGUAAUGCACUUUCAGUGGGGAAGAAAGCCUUGGGGCUAAUACCCUCGAGGAAGGACAUCACCCACAGAAGAAGCACCGGCUAACUCCGUGCCAGCAGCCGCGGUAAUACGGAGGGUGCGAGCGUUAAUCGGAAUUACUGGGCGUAAAGCGCGCGUAGGCGGUCUGAUAAGCCGGUUGUGAAAGCCCCGGGCUCAACCUGGGAACGGCAUCCGGAACUGUCAGGCUAGAGUGCAGUAGAGGAAGGUAGAAUUCCCGGUGUAGCGGUGAAAUGCGUAGAGAUCGGGAGGAAUACCAGUGGCGAAGGCGGCCUUCUGGACUGACACUGACGCUGAGGUGCGAAAGCGUGGGUAGCAAACAGGAUUAGAUACCCGAGUAGUC
rnacentral:rRNA from 1 species